GGGGGCUGCCUGGGUCUCCACGUGCCUAGGUACCAAGUCAACUGAAGUAGUGGGAAGAGGGAAAUGGUUUGUGAGUUUCCUACCAUCAUCAGGAAGAAUAUGGGGAGUCCUCCUGCAAGAUGUCAAGCACCUACAUGAGGAGAUUUUCCAGGAACAGAGGCCCUCACCCAGCUCUCAAAGGACGCUCAGGA